UUAAUUAACUCUCCAAAUUCUACUUUUUUGUUCCAUCGUGAAAAAAAUAUAAAAUCUUAUUGAUUUAUACCGACAACCACAUCUCAACCGAUUUCAAGUUCGGUAUUUUAGAUUUAAAAAUAAAUAAAUUGAAAUAUGAUUACAUUGUGCACGGUGUGUGACCUGCACACAAUCUAAAUUUGUAAGGUGGUCACACUGCACACAAUCCAAAUCCGCAGCAUCAAUGGUUCAUUGAUUUUUUUUUUUUAAGUUAUGUAUUAAGAUUGUAUUUGUAAUAUUGUUGCAGGGGUUGAGUCAGUUUCAGUGGACAUGAAAGACCAAAAAUUAACCUUAAUAGGUGAUACUGAUCCGGUGCGUGUAGUUGCUAAGCUAAGGAAGAUUUGUCAUGCAGACAUGGUUUCAGUUGGACCAGCUAAAGAGGAAAAGAAAGAAGAACCUAAAAAGAAGGAUUCAACAAAAAAAGAAAUUGUGAUUGAUCCUUUCAUGUUCUAUGGAACACCAACAUAUGCUUACUAUAAUCAGAUGAAACCACAAUAUAAUUAUCCUUAUUACGUUGAAGAGGAUCCUAAUGGUUGUGUCAUCAUCUAAAUUUCUUAUAUUAAGUUUGAUAAAAAAAUAAAAAGGAAUCCCAAAAAAAUCAAUAUAUUUAUCUUUUUGCUUUUUGUUUUAUGAUUUUGAAAAGUAGUAUGAUGUAUAGUAGUGUACGUGUACUAGUGUUUGAUUUUAUUAUAAUAGAGGCUUAUGCUGGACCACUCUUUUAUAUUUUAUCUUUUACAUUUUAAAAAGUUGGAUUUCUUUUUCUAUAUAUUUUUUUUUGACAAUUAUAUUUUCUAUAUAUUAGUAUAACUACAUUAUUGAACGUUGUGAAUUUAACGAAAAUAAGAGUGGAACAAAAGUUCAAUUAAAGUGUAAUAAAUCCAACAAAGCAAAGAAACAAGUAAAAGUAAAGAGUAGUUAAUAUAAUCCACAUGAGAUUGUUUAUUCAGUUUGAUUUAAAUUGACCUACGUUUAAAAGGUAAAGUAACUCUCCAUUGUGUUUUUUUUUUCACCAAAAUUGACCUACGUCUUCUGAAAGAUAAGGCAAACAAAAGGAUUAAUUAUUGCACCAAAAUUUAAACUCAAGACAAUUUUUUUUUUUUUUGAACUCAAAAGACAAAUUUAUUACACUUCAUUUCUCUAGUAUUUUUUUUCUUCUUUUGAUAGAAUACGAACUUGAAGAUGUAGUCUAGUAUUACUGUAUUAGUUGAAAUAUUUAGUGUCUAUUAUAAAAGGCGUCUAAAAUUUGAUCUUUAGUGCUAACAAAUUAUGUCCGCUAACAAAAUAACCACUAAUAUUUUAACUAUAUAAUAUUAUAUCUCUAUGAAAUUUUAUUUUACAAAACAUACACUAAAAAUAUAUUAUAAAGAGAUUGAACAUUUGAGAUAUAGGAGGAGUAUGAAAAUAAUUUUUAAGUUAAGAAUCAAAAUUUUAAAUAUACUUACACUUAUAUUUGACUUAAUGUUAUUUUAAAACCGACGGAAAGGACUAACUAAUGCAAAUAAUAGAACGUAUGAGAUUAAAUUAAAACUUAAAAUAAAUAUAAGGGAUCAAAUUUAUAUAUAGUUAAACCUAAUUUUAAUUUAGAUUUAGUUGAUGUUAUUUGUAAGUGUAUGAAUAGAAAUAUGAUAUAUGUCUCCUAUGAGUCUAAAAUGGUGCCAUUUAUGGGCAUUUAGAUUUAGGGUGAAUUUUGCUACAAAUAAGCAAAUGAUAGAAGAACUAAACGAAAAAAUAAAGAGGAUGAUGUUGUUACUUUGUUUUAAACUUGUGCAUAUAAAGACAAGCGGAUUUUAGGAUGGGAGACCAUGAUAGGUCUCUCACCAGUGCACUACAUGUUUUGUGGACUUGAUUGAAUGUGUACAUGAUAUUAUGGUGGACUGUCAUUAUUAUAUUAUUUUUGAAAAAAAGUUUUUGAUUUUUCCGGAAAAAAGUUUUUGAUAUUUUUUCGUGAAAAAAUUAUCAUUUUUUUCGGAAAAAAGUUUCAAUUUCAGAUAAAAACAAUUUCGGAUUUUUCCGGGAAAAAAGUUUCGGAUAUUUUCCGAAAUUUUUUUUUUUUUUUUUUUUGGAAAUAGUUCCGAUGUUUUCCGGAAAAAAGUUCCCAAUUUUUGGGGAAAAAUAGUUUCGAAAUGUUCACUGAAAAAAUAUUGCUGAUACAAAAAAGAGUGAAAAAACAUAAAAUAUUUGAAACUUUUUUUACGAAUAUUGGAACUUUUCCAAAAAAAUAUCGGAAAUUUUUUUUUCCGAAAAAUAUUCGAAACUUUUUUCCGAUUAAAAUAUCAAACUUUAUUCCCGAAAAAAGAACAUAAACUUUUUUGUUCAGACAAAAUCUAUGGAAUUGUUUUUAUCUAAAAUCGUAACUUUUUCCCCCAAAAAUCGGGAACUUUUUUUCCGAAAAAAAAUUGAAAGUUUUUUCCCAAAAAAGAUUGAAAACUUUUUUUCAAAAAUAAUAUAAUACGGAUAGUACACCAUAAUAUGAUGUACACAUUCAAUACAGUCCACAAAAUACUUGGUGCACUGGUGAGAGACCUAUCAUGGUCUCCCACCCUAGAAUCAGCCCUAAAGACAAUAAUAGAUAAAGUAGAAGAGGAGUAUAUAUAUAGCACUUUUUUUAUUAACAUAUUAAAAGCUUGUAAAAUAUAAUAUUUCUCUCUUAUAUAAAAAAUGGAUAAAAACAACAAAGCGAACAGUAUACGAGAUUGAGAGAGAAGAAAAAAAAAAUAAAGUUGCAUCUUAAUGAUUGUUCGAUCAGUUUCGAUUAUGAAAAAAUAGAAUUUUAAAGACCCGCGUUCACCCGUAUACAACCAUUUAUGCAUAAUUUUUCGCAAUAUGCGUUGAUCCAAAACUCAACCAGCACCCAACCGGAUACUUCAAUGUAUCAUCAAUUAUAUCAAUUUCAAAUCGGAUCACAGUUCCAAACGCAGCCUACUACUGUCAACAACAAUCAUACACAAUUUAUUGAAAUUGAGACACAAAUAAAGCCAAAGCGGGGUCUAGGGCCAACCCCUCCACCCACAAUAUGAUUUGAUGUAUCUACGUAUGAGUGUUCCAAGAAGGAACGUAAUAUUGGAAUUUGGAAAUCAAACUAACUAUAGUAUAGAUUGAAAAAGUCUUAUAUUUCAACUUUUAAGUUUCGUAGAAGACCACUUCUUGUGUUGACUAUAGUUUAGGUUGACCUGCCUCUGUCAUCAACUCUUCCUCCCUUACUAUAAAAAACCAUCAAACUUAACUUCAAAUUAAAACAUUAUCUCUUCCUUUCCUCUUCUACUCCAAUUUGCAUCAAGAAUUAUUCUUCUACUUUAAUUAGUUCUCACAUCUCAAAAGCUUCUACAACAAUAAUGAAGGUCAGUAUAUAUCCUUUACCUCUUUUAUAUUUAUCAUAGCUAAAGCAUAGUUAGUGAUAAUUUUUCUUAGAAAUUGAGUGUUGAUCAUCCUAACAAUUACUUGAUUUUUGUUUGACAGAAAGUUGUGCUAAAGUUGGAUAUACAUGAUGACAAAAUCAAGCAAAAAGCUAUGAAGGCAGUCUCUGGACUUUCAGGUACUAAAUUCAUUGCAAUUAUACAUAUUUUUUUUAUUUAUUUUCAUGAAAUGAAAAAUAAUAAAAAAUCCUACUAAUCAUGUACCAUCAAUUUCCGUGCUGUGUACGGUCACACUAUAUGCAGUCAAUCAUAUCUAAACCGUUCAAUUCAUAUUUCAAGUUCGUUAAUUUAGAUUUAAGAAUAAAAUAAAUCUGCAUCGAAAUCUAAUUGGAUAGUUAAGACGUAGUUGAUUGUGUAAGGUCACAUUGCGCACAGUAGCAUCGAUGGUUCACUUUUUUUAGUUAUGUACUAAGAUUGUAUAUUUGUAAUAUUGUUGCAGGGGUUGAGUCAGUUUCAGUAGACAUGAAAGACCAAAAAUUAACCUUAAUCGGAGAUAUUGAUCCGGUACGCGUAGUGGCUAAGCUAAGGAAGAUUUGCCAUGCAGACAUAGUUUCAGUUGGACCAGCUAAAGAAGAAAAGAAAGAAGAACCUAAAAAGAAGGAAGAUGAUAAGAAGGAUUCAGCCAAAAAAGAAAUUGUGAUUGAUCCUUUCAUGUUCUAUGGAACACCAACAUAUGCUGCCUAUUAUAAUCAGAUUAAACCACAAUAUAAUCCUUAUUACAGGGCUGUAAGCGUUGAAGAGGAUCCUAAUGGUUGUGUCAUCAUCUAAAUUUCUUAUACUAUAUUUUGAUAAAAA
rnacentral:lncRNA from 1 species